UCGACGCGGAGCCCAAGGGCAACUUGGCCCGGUUCAUCAACCGCUCGUGCGAGCCUUGGUGCGAGCCCUACUGCGAGACGCUGCUUUGGAAGGUCGGCGGAAGCCAAUCCGUGGGGCUGUUUGCCCUCAGUCCUUGAGGCGGCUAAAAGCUCAUCUUAACUACAAUUUUGAGAACUUCGACGACCAGAAGAUCUGCCACUGUGGUGCGGACAAGUGUUCCAGGCUGAUCGUCAGCCAAGGGACGGAGAACCGGAUUGAGGAGGCUACAACGGUCUUGCGCGACUUGCAGGUGCAGAUUGCAACGUGGGUUACCUGCUCAAGUGCUCAAACGCCAACAGUGACCCACGUCAGCGGAAAAGUACCUUGCGGAUCCAUCGUGGAGAGAAUUCUACCUUGCCAAGGGUUGACCAUUAAACGUUCACGAAGAAACCAACCUAUGUUACUAAGUUGUGUGAACCGUAACAAAAGAAUAUAAAAAAAUGUAAAUGUUAUCGAAAUAAAUUUAAAACGCUGCGGCAGUUGCAGCCGCAAUCGGUGGAGCUACUCCGGUAGCCUCCUGAGCUUCGGUGGGAGAAUGUCCUUUUUUAUCAUCUGGCUGUUUAACUUCUGAUCCAAACAAUCCUAUCGAGGAAUCUUCGCAGUUCUUACCACCGCGGAUAUUCUAGCGGAAAGAUCCCGUUAGUCUCUGAGCCCCCACUUUUCUCGAUAAUUUCUCAUAACCUCACAUUUCACUCGCCGCAGCCGCAGUUUUCUGGAAGCUUAGAUUAAUUGGUGUUUAUUAGAAUUUAACAGUUCUGCUCCAGGAUGUUACAUUUGCAAUUCAGAGAUUUGGAGAACCUUUCAACUGAGAUCAAUUCAUUAGCCUUUACAGGGAGGGUACAUGUUUCUAAGUUUAGAUGUUGCUAGCUGCAUGCUCUUUUAGGGAAAAUAAAUUUUGAGAAAAAACCCUAGAUCUAUGUUUGGCUUAAGACUAAUAUCACAGUUGUUGACGGAGGAGUGCUUCGAUGAGCGGAUUCGUUGACAUCCCACAGGAAGUCCUGAAGGUUCUCGUUGCUUUUUCGAUGCUUGCGUCGAUGGUGUCGACGCCGGCCAGCUCGUGUAGAUCGUCGGUCGGGUACCACGGGUUCAAGUUGUGCACCAUCUUGAGCAGCUUGUUCUGCUUCACCUGGAGUCGCUUACGGUGCGAUUUGGCGCAGUUGCCCCAGACCACAAAGCUUAGAUUAAAAGACACUCAAAAUCGUUGGUAGUCAUGUUUUACUUCACUCAACAUAACACGCUCGCUGUAAAUUAAACCGUUCUCAUUAACCAACCCUGAUCUGGGACCGGAAGUAGCUGCCUCGCUCAUGUUGAAGUUGCGCGAAUCCAUUCUAGUUAUCCUUUAACUUGUUUCCUUCCAAACAAGUGCUUGUUGAAUAAUAAAGGGGAAAUAAUAGAUGACACUGCAAAACUCCUGACCAUCGUAAUUAUCCCGUUAGGUGUUCUUGCCACGUAACUUCCGGGAGACCCGAGAUUUUACGGUACUGACAAUCGUAUAUUCACCGGCUUCGCUGAAAGGGAAAACCAAAUGUCGUUGAGUCCCCUUCUUCUUCUUCUCAAAGACCGCCGCAAAGUCGGUGGCCGUUUGACCAAUGGCGUUACAGGCGGCGUAACGAACUCUCGGAUGGGAUCCAUCAAUUACUUGAGCACGCCCCGCAUGAUGUCCGUCUGCUUGUAGCAACCCUAGCCAGCGGUCGAGACGACUAUCAGAGCGGCGUGCCGUUACUUCCAGUUUGAAUGGUUCAACAUGUUUGAAAUGUUUGUGAUAAUGUGCGGCAGAAAGGGCCGAAGGCGGCGAUGGCCGGACAGCGGUCGAAGAUGGAAGCGGAAUUCGGUGGUUGUCGCAUAGCAUCUGGCAAUGUCUCCGAAGAUCGGCGUCGUACCGUCCAGCUGCAGCAGCUUGUUCGUCUUGAGCAGGUUCUCGGUGUGGUCAACUUCGCUGUGGGUAACCAUCGUGCCAGACGCAUCCACUCGUUCUGCAAGUGGAACACCAUGUCCUCGUAAUUGAGCGGAACGCACAUGAAGUAUGUAGAUGCCCCACAGGCCGGUUUCAUUUCCUAGAAGCACAGGUUGUCCUCGGCGUUUUUGGCGCCACCACUCUGCGUGCGAUACCACGCGCUAAUCAGCGUGUUGGCGACCAUCAGCGGAACAUUGUCUUGAUUGGUCCUGCCGCAAAUCAAGACGGCAAUGAUGACGAGCGCCACCAGUAGCGAAUCAUCUCGGUCGCGCACUUCAGAAUCGGUGAAUCGGCACGGCGUCAGAGCGGAAGCCUUUCCGUCGAAGGUGCUGCCUACCUUCCCGAGGUAAGACUCGAUCAGCUCAAGCAGGGCUCCUUGUUUGAUUCCACUGGCUGCGGCCAGGACGAUGCGGGGGCCUUGUAGUGCGAAUCGAUGUAAGCCUGCAGAUUCUUACAGUCUUGACCGUGGUGUUGACAGUGUUGCAAUCGGAAUGUCGGUGCAGACGUCGAGUGCGUGGAUUACCUCGUCAACGCACUUGCCCCACUCGUAGUUGGAGGCCGUUCCCGCGAGUCGUCUAUCGCCACCACCGAACCAUCCUCCGGGUUGAACGUCUCAAGCGGUUCGUCCAGCGUGGGGUAGAUUCCGCCGACGCACUUCGCAAUGGUUUUGUUCGCCGAGUCAUCAAUGUUAAACAUCUGCAGAUGCUCGUCCGAAUCGGCUUCAAUAUCGUGCGCUCCACCAGUUCUUGUUUGUUGUUUGGACAAACGACCACGACGGCGAUAAACUGCUGCCAGCCUUGUGCUGAAUGAUGUUGGAAACGGGCUGGUGAACCUGGACAAACUCAGGCGUGGACAGUAGGUCCGACCGGAAGUCACAAGUGACCUCGUAAAAGAUUCACGACAGAUCGGCCAGUUCGGCAUCUGAAAAGUGUGCAAACAAGAAGAAGAGCGAGAAUAUUAGUUACGUACUUCGAAAGGCGCUGGGUUCGCAGCGACAGAGCAUGCGUGAUUCCACGCGGUUGGGCAGUCCUUUACCAGUGAGCGUUGGCAACGACGAUCUGUCUGGAUUGAUGGCGUAUCCGGCGAGAAUCCAAUAUGAACCGUUGCGCAAUCCGCUGCAAGACCUUCUGGUGGCAAUGCGUGUUCAGGACUAGCUGAUUGAGUUAGUUCUUAUGCAUGUACCUGUUGCUGCUGCUAAUUCCUCCAACCGUACUGCCGGACAAACUUCUAUUGUUGCUACCAGUCUCCUCCACCGCCACCCGAGCUUGAAAUGCUACUUCCGGCACUACUUCCCGAGCUUCCACCGCUACAUCCACUGGAAACCAGGCUACUCGCGGCACUGCUCGUGGCCGUACUGGAUGCGGUCGUGGACCCCGGCGGGGAUGCAGGAUCGUACCACAACACAACAAACGGAAGACCUCCGCACGGGAAUAUUCAAUCCGCUUCUUGGGUAGGUAGAAAAUCCGUCAUCGUCCUCCAUCAUUUUCCCACGUGUUUCAUGUUUUUGUUUUGCUUUUUCACUGCUCGAAUCAAAUGUCAGCGUGAAAUGUCAUUUUAUGGUUGCCGAACUCAUUCGAGCAGUUUGACAGCUCAAAUCGUGAGAUUUUUUCAAAUCGCGCUCACAUCGCGAUGAAAUCGCGCUCAUCGCACCAAAUCGCGCUCAUCGUGUCUAAUCGAGGGAAAUCGUGGUCAUCGAGGCUAAAUCGCGAGCUCAUCGCGGGAGUGUCAUUCCCCUCGCCAGAAACUAUAACAUAGCAUUAGCCGCCAUUCCGUGCAUCAAAUAGACAGAGCAAGAAUAUAAAAAUUCGCCACUUUAAUGCAUGUGGGCAAAUAAAAAAAAAAUCGAAAAUUUAACUUUUUUUUUGAAAAAAUAUCAAUUUUUAUUUGUUUUCAUUAUUAUGAGAACAAACAACACAAAAAGUCUCAAAAAGUAAAAAAAUAUUUUUGGCCGCUCGCUUCUAUGGAAAUACCCCACGUCAUGUUUUUGUAUUGUUCCGUUGCAGGUAACUUGCCUUGAAACUUUAAUUAACAAAAGUUAUACUCAAAAGUAUUAAAAAUUUGUAAAAUCCAUAUAUUUAUACCAAAUAACUUUAUAUUUUUGUUAAAUGGAGUUAAAACUCAAUAAAUAUGCCAAAAAUCACUUUCAAUUCAUGUUUUGAAAGAAUUACAUAGAUUUUGAUAAGUUUAUUUAAGAAAAAUAAAAGUGUCUCAUUGUUACCCAUGGGCUGAAAGGAGUGGGGAACAAUGAGACAGCCCUGGAUUCUGGGUAUAUUCUUAAUUUUGGCCAAACCUAAUGAAGGGACAUUGUAGCCCAACUCAUUCCCUAUGAACAGUCGAAAAAAAAUCUAAAGAAAUGUUAGUUUUGGUGUUAAUGGCAGCCUACGAGCGAAAAAGUAAUUUUUGUCCAUAAUUAUUUAUUUACACCCCAGAAUCAAACAUUAAUGAAUAACUUUUCAACGGAGCUUCCAUAACCAAAGCCACUAUUAUGGCAGAUGUGUAUCCUGUAGACACAUCUUUCCCCAAAAUAUGAGCCUGAUUGGUUGAAACUACUACUUUUGAGAGCCAUUCUAUCAUUGUUCCCCGUGUCUCAUUAAUGACUACUCUACCCUAAACUUCUAUCAAAAAUAUUUAUUCCCAUAAAAUUUCAUUAUCUUUCUUCAAAAAUUUGCGUCAACUUUCACCGAUAAAGACCGAUUAAAUUAAAUUAACAUCAAAAAUAUUUGCAGCAGCUUAACCUGAUUGCAAUGUUUCUUGAGGCAUGCAAAUUGCAAUGAAUAGCGCAUGUUUGUUUUUUGAUAUUUUUUUAUGUUUUGUGAAAUUUGGAUCAACUGAUUAAAAGCUUUUUGAACAAAACUGUUGGCAAAGUGUAACUUUUUGUUUUCUAUUAUUUAAAUGACGAUAAUGUAAAAAAGUACAUGGAAUUAUUUGAAAUCUUCAGCUGAUCAAAGUAUUUUCAGCCUUAUAGAUUGUAAAAACAUAAUUCAUUUUUAAAUAUUUAGCUUUAAAUUUGGCCCGCCAUUUAAAAACUUUGAGCACCCCUGGUAUAAGCUAAUUGCUAAUCUACAAACUGAAAAUCAUAAUCAACUAGUCGGUUAUUAUUGUUUAUUAGGGCAUGUGUCUUGCCCCUCGCAUUUAAGCGAGCGAGACCAUCCAUAAACCAUGUGGACACUUUUUUGAAAUGUCUAACCCCCCCCCCCCCCCUCCCUUUCCCCCUCGUGUACAAUUUCCAUACAAAACAAAUCUUUAUUGUAUGGAGCAUGGACAAUCCCCCCCUGAGGUGUCAACUUGGUUUAAGGAUGGUUCCUUAUAUUUGAAAAAUAAAAUUAAAAACUAACUUCAAACUAAUGCGAAAAAUGAAGCGAAAUCAUGUAAUCUAGAGGUCCAUAGGAAUAAAAAAAACUCUCACAUAAAAAAAAAUCAAUAAUAAUAAUACACAUUCUGUAUUUUGUUUCAAUUGCAGGAGACGUUAAGAAAAUUAUGUAUUAUAAUGUUCAUAAUUAGCCAUAUAGAAAAUAAGCUCUCAACAACGAUGCUACAAAAUCUUUGCUGUUAAUAGAAGGUGCAAGUUGACCUAGAUAUGGUAUUUACUAUGUAUUAAUAAGAUAAAAACUAGAAAUAAAUUCAUCAGCCAUGGUAGUUGAACCCCUUCUUUAAAAUGUA